GGGGUGCCCCGCGAGGGGAGCCCUAGCACAGGUGCUGCAUGGCCGUCGUCAGCUCGUGCCGUGAGGUGUUGGGUUAAGUCCCGCAACGAGCGCAACCCCUACGUUUAGUUGCUAACGCGUGAAGGCGAGCACUCUAGACGAACUGCCGUUGACAAAACGGAGGAAGUGGGAUGACGUCAAAUCAUCAUGCCCCUUAUGUUCUGGGCUACACACGUGCUACAAUGGCCGGUACAGACGGACGCAAAGCCGCGAGGUGGAGCAAAUCCUAAAAAGCCGGUCUCAGUUCGGAUUGCAGGCUGCAAUUCGCCUGCAUGAAGUCGGAAUCGCUAGUAAUCGCAGGUCAGCAUACUCGCGGUCCGAAUACGUUCCGGGCCUU
rnacentral:rRNA from 1 species